rnacentral:rRNA from 1 species
UACGAAGGGUGCAAGCGUUACUCGGAAUUACUGGGCGUAAAGCGUGCGUAGGCGGCUUGUUAAGUCCGCUGUGAAAGCCCUGGGCUCAACCCUGGGAUGCCGGUGGAUACUGUCGGACUAGAGUACGGAAGAGGCGAGUGGAAUUCCCGGUGUAGCGGUGAAAUGCGCAGAUAUCGGGAGGAACACCAAUUGCGAAGGCAGCUCGCUGGGACGUCACUGACGCUGAGACGCGAAGGCGUGGGGAGGCAAACAGG